CUUGGUCAUUUAGAGGAGUAAAAGUCGUAACAAGGUUUCCGUAGGUGAACCUGCGGAAGGAUCAUUAUCGAAAUUAUUGGUGAGGGUUGUAGCUGGCCUUUCGAGGCAUGUGCACGCUCGAGCCCUUAAUCCACUUUACACCUGUGCACUUAAUGUAGGUCGCCCUUAAAAAAGGUGACCUAUGUCUUAUCAUCAACCCAUCGUAUGUCUCAUAGAAUGUAAUCGAUAUCCUCGCCCUAAAAAAGCGUUGAUAAACUUAUACAACUUUCAACAACGGAUCUCUUGGCUCUCGCAUCGAUGAAGAACGCAGCGAAAUGCGAUAAGUAAUGUGAAUUGCAGAUUUUCAGUGAAUCAUCGAAUCUUUGAACGCACCUUGCGCUCCUUGGUAUUCCGAGGAGCAUGCCUGUUUGAGUGUCAUUAAAUUCUCAACUCCAAGGGUUUCACGACCUUUCGGAGAUUGGACUUGGAGGUGCUGGCCGCAUAUUGGUCGGCUCCUCUCAAAUGCAUCAGCGGAAUUCAACCUUUGGCUUCCGGAUGUCAGUGUGAUAAUCAUGUUGCGCUGUCGUUUUGAUCCCUCAGAGUCCGCUUAUAAUGGUCUUCGGACAAAAUCAUCAUCAAAUUUUGACCUCAAAUCCAGGUAGGACUACCCGCUGAACUUAAGCAUAUCAAUAAUCGGAGGA
rnacentral:rRNA from 1 species